rnacentral:lncRNA from 1 species
GGCAAAUUGUGCGCAGAGAUGUUAUUUAUUAAUGAGUUAACUUUCUGCAUUCUCAUCGUCUUUCCUUUCUAGAGGAUGCUGCAAGCCCAGGGAAUGAAGACAUUUGGAGAAGAAGCGUUUACUGAAAGGAGAUUCCUGGGCUGGAGGAAAACCAUGAUCUACAGUUCAUGUUGACAGAUAUUGUAUUUUUGGUCCUAGAUCUGACUUUUGAAAUGACUUAUCACAAAUUCAAAUUUAGCAAUCAUGAGUGAAGUACCCACGAUGUGCUAAGCAUCUACCUCUGCAGAUAGAAGAACACUUACUGUUCCUGAGCAUGGGAGGGAAUAGAAGUUCCUGGGUCCUGGCCUCACCUCAUCAGGCACUGCCAAAUUUGACACCUCCUUCCUGUUCACGGCAGUCCUUUGCGAUAGGGUAUUAGAUGCCACCAAGUAGCUGCAUAACUCACCCAUUUGGUCAGAGCCUGGGUCUAAGCCAGGUCUGACAGACUCCAAAGCAAGCCCUGUUUACAGCAUGACUGGGAUCCAGUGGACGAGGGAACUGAGCUGUCAAAACUAAGUGACUUGAUUGAGGCCAUGCAGCUGGCGAGGGGAGGACCAGGAUCUGAACCCAACUGGGUCUCCCAAGCCUGGGCCACUGAACCAUUUCACCUCUUGGAAAAACUUAAUGGUCAGAGUGGCCCACCCAGUCCAUGGACAGCAUGGAGGAUAAACUGCUUCCCUAGAAAUCCUCUCCAGCAUUCUUGCCACCACGACUUUGGGACACAUUGACCAUGAGGAGGAGCUGGUCAAUGAUGGACAGGAGUCCAGAUUAGCAGAGAUGUGGUAAUAAGGACACCGAUGCCUAAAUACUUGAAAUAUCCAAUAGGAAGCAUUCCACCUUUGUGCAAAUGCGAACCACAUCUCACCAAGUUCAGGCCAAGGCUGCCACCGGUGACGUUUUGGAAAAGAAAAAAAAAAGCGGGGGGAGAGGAGAGAAACAGAGAAGCAAGGAAUGCAGAAGAGAGCAGAGGCCACAAAAACAGCAGCAACGUGUCCUGUGUAUUCUGUUUCCUUGUAAAACUAUGAAGCAUGUUAAGGAGAUACUUCAUUUUUUGAGGAUUCAUACUCUUGUUUAUAUUAUAAUAAAAACAACCCAUGUUCUUUCUAAAAAUUUAGGCAAUGCCUUCGUGCACAUAAAAGUAAAACAAAAUCACCUGUAAUCCUACCACACGCAGAUCAGCACUUGCUAAUCUUUUCACAGGGAUCCUAAGAAUAUCCUAUUCUCUAUAGAAUAUAGUUGAUUUAUGUUACCUAAUAACUAACUGUUAACCAUUUUAAAAUUCUUCAGUUUUACAUUAUGCUAGAAAAAAGGAGCCGUCACUCUACGUGACAUUUCUGUAUAUUGGUUUAUUCAUUCAAUAAACAUUUUUUAAGUACCUACU